rnacentral:rRNA from 1 species
CCCGGCUGGGGGAUGGCUUGGCUCGGGCGCCGAAGAAGGUCGUGGCAAGCGGCGAAACGCCCGGGGUAGGCGCAUGCAGCCGUUGAUCCCGGGAUCGCCGAAUGGGACUUCCUGCCGGAGCAAUACUCCGGCGCUCGCGGCAGCGAGCGGGAACCCCGGGAAACGAAACAUCGGAGUACCGGGAGGAAAAGAAAGCAAUAGCGAUGCCCUGAGUAACGGCGAGUGAAAAGGGCAGAGGGCAAACCGAACCUGGUGGAGAAAUCCACUGGGGAUGUGGAGUUGCAGGACUCUCCCCAAUCCCUCGCCCGGGAAGCCGAAGUCGGCUGGAAUGCCGCGCCAUAGAGGGUGAAAGCCCCGUAGGCGUAACUGGGCAGGGUAAGAGGGAGAGAAUCCUGAGUAGGGCGCCUUGGAAAUGGCGUCCGAAGCUGGGAGGCACCAACUCCCAACCCUAAAUACGUCCCGAGUCCGAUAGCGGACGCAGUACCGCGAGGGAAAGCUGAAAAGAACCCCGGAAGGGGGGUGAAAAGAGCCUGAAACCAGCCGGGGAUUGCAGGGCACGGCUCGAAAGAAGUGAGCUCUCCCAAAGGAACCCGUCGCGAGGCGGUAGUACGAGGGAGAGUGAUCGGGGUCGUGCCGUCCGUCUGGAAUCACGGGCCAGGGAGUUUCUCGUCGUGGCGAGGCUAAGGAGGUUAGAUCUCCGGAGCCGGAGCGAAAGCGAAAGGUCCGCAGCCUCCGAUGAGGAGGUGAGGGACUGGGUGUGAAAGCGCCCGGAGUCACGGCGAGAAGACCCGAAACCGGGUGAUCUAGUCCGGGGUAGGCUGAAGCCGAGCGUACGCUCGGUGGAGGGCCGAACCGGUCUUGGUGUGCAAUCCGGUCGGAUGACCCUGGGCUAGUGGCGAAAGACCCAUCAAACCCGGUGAUAGCUGGUUCCCCCCGAAGCUGGCCGCAGUCAGGCCCAGCGCGAGGUCGCCGGUGAUGUAGAGCACCGAUUGGAGGAUGUCGGGAGGAAACUCUCGCUCCUCCUGUCGAACUCCGAAGUCACCGGCACCGUAGACCGCUGGAGACGGGAUGCGGGGGGUAAGCUCCCGCUCCGAGAGGGGAAAAACCCAGACCGGGGUUAAGGUCCCUAAAUACCGGCUAAGUGUUACCGGAAAGGGCGUCCUCUCCCUCAGACAGCGGGAAGGUAGGCUCAGAAGCAGCCAUCCUUUAAACAACGCGUAAAAGCGGACCCGUCGAGGGAGGGGGCCCCGAAGACUCACGGGGCUAAGCCGGUUACCGAGACCCCGGGGCAGCCGAAGUUUAGUAGGCUGAUCCGGUAGGGGGGCGCCCUGCGUGGGGAGAAGCCCGGCCGUGAGGUCGGGUGGACCGCGUGGGGACGAAGAUCCUGGUGGUAGUAGCAGCAGAGCCGGGUGAGAAUCCCGGCCGCCGAAAGGGCUCGGGUUCCUAGGCAAUGGUCGUCAGCCUAGGGUUAGCCGGUCCUAAGGGUGUCCUCAACCAGGCACACCCGAAAGGGAAUCCGGUUAACAUUCCGGAGCCACCCGGGUACCUGCGGCAACGCAAGCCUCCUCCUCGACGCUUCGGGGUAGGCCGAGUGGAGCCGUCGCUCCAUCUAACCACUCAAGUCCGGGGAGUUCCGUAAUGGAGAGAACCGGACGAAGGUGGGAAUGGCCUGCCGAAAGGUGGGUUCGGCUGAUCCCCGGAGCCCGUGAAAAGGGGAGGGGGAAAUGGGACCCCGGGUGACCGUACCCAGAACCGACACAGGUGCCCCUGGGUGAGAAGCCCAAGGCGUGUCGGGACACACCGGGCCAGGGAAUUCGGCAAGUUAGCCCCGUAGCUUCGGUAGAAGGGGUGCCUGUCCCGCGAGGGGCAGGUCGCAGUGACAA